GGUUAAAUAGAAAAGUGACAUUAAUCAAAAAUAGCAAAUUUUUCAAUACACGCAUUUAAAGUUUUUACUUUUAUUAAAAUUAAUUUUUCCUUAUAUUUUUUAUAUUUACAUGUAAGUGUUAUUUAUCAUUUUGAAGGUAUUUACAUAAAGAUUAAGAUAUCGUUGUUAUUUUAUAAAAUUACAAU